UUUCCUUUCCCUCGUGUCUUCUGGGAUUUCAUCGUCGUUUCCCUUGCUUUGGCUCCUGGUAUUUCGUCUGAAUUACUCUCCUGUGUCCUCCAAAUCUUUCUGCUUUCUGCACCACGGAGUCCUGCUUGCCUCUUGUUUGAAACGUUGGUGGUGACGGCUGUGACGGAGGCCAGGGAGAUGGUGUCGGGGUCGGGGCCUCCUCCCAUGAACAUGCCCUGACGGUCCAGGUCCUCCGUCUCCAGGAUAGCGGGCUCAUCUGGAGAUCAUAUAAAGGAGAGGUCAGUCACAGCAGACUGAAGCAUGAAACCCGACACCGGCAUCUUGCAGACAGAAGGAGGCCGACAACUAAUUGCCAUCAAAAAACAAUUCCAAGAGCAACUGGAAACAUCCUUAAUUAUUAAAAGCAUUUAAAACAUUUAGUCCUCGUUCAUCCAAAACCAAAACAUAUGACUGGUGUAUUUGCCACUGCUAUGAUGGACCUAAAGUCCAACGCCUAUGCUAUUAUUUUAGAGGGGGUCUGUGUGAUACCACACCCUGGAUUAGCCUUCAAAAGGAGCUUUCAAUUAUUCACAUCAGCUGACCUUAAUACAUGCAUUAAAGAGGAUACAUUUCACCCUCAUUGUGAGAAAUAAUUCACUCAAAAUAAUUAAAUCUGCUAUAAUUAAUCAGCAAAAACCCUUUCCCACAGGAGUUCAAACUUUAAAAGUGUGAAUGAUUUGAUAAUAUUUUAAAGUUCUCAACAUGUAAUGUAUUGAAUAGCUGUUUCUUUUUUAUGAUUGGAAUUUAUUCAUCAAUUUGCUAGUCUAAUUGCAAACUUCUAAAUUAAGCAAAGUCAAAUAAAUUAGCACGGCCUAAACAUUUUCGGGGGGGAAACAGACGGUAUGAUACUGUGUGUGUAUAUAUAUAUCUCAUUUCUUAAAUGUAUAAAAAUGGUAUGGUAUACCCAAAUGACCUACAAAGCCUCCUUCCUAAGUUUUUUCUUUACAUUUUUGAACGUUUUCUUGCAGUUUUCAGUGUUUUAAGUACAAAAAACUGUGGAAA